rnacentral:rRNA from 1 species
AGAUUGAACGCUGGCGGCAGGCCUAACACAUGCAAGUCGAGCGGCAGCACGGGUACUUGUACCUGGUGGCGAGCGGCGGACGGGUGAGUAAUGCCUAGGAAUCUGCCUGAUAGUGGGGGAUAACGCUCGGAUACGGACGCUAAUACCGCAUACGUCCUACGGGAGAAAGCAGGGGACCUUCGGGCCUUGCGCUAUCAGAUGAGCCUAGGUCGGAUUAGCUAGUUGUGGGGUAAUGGCUCACCAAGGCGACGAUCCGUAACUGGUCUGAGAGGAUGAUCAGUCACACUGGAACUGAGCACGGUCCAGACUCCUACGGAGGCAGCAGUGGGGAAUAUUGGACAAUGGGCGAAAGCCUGACUCAGACCAUGCCGCGUGUGUAGAAG